GGGAGCGACUUGGCUUCGACAGGAGUAAGUCUGCUUAGAUGGCAUGUCGCUUUGGGCAAAGCGUAAAAAGCCCAAAUAAAAUUAAACGCAAACAACGUUAAAUUCGCUCCUGCUUACGCUAAAGCUGCGUAAGUUCAGUUGAGCCUGAAAUUUAAGUCAUACUAUCUAGCUUAAUUUUCGGUCAUUUUUGAUAGUGUAGCCUUGCGUUUGACAAGCGUUGAGGUGAAAUAUAAGGUCUUAGCCUUGCUUUUGAGUUUUGGAAGAUGAGCGAAGUAGGGUGAAGUAGUCAUCUUUGCUAAGCAUGUAGAGGUCUUUGUGGGAUUAUUUUUGGACAGGGGUUCGAUUCCCCUCGCUUCCACCA
rnacentral:tmRNA from 1 species